GUGGUAUAACUUCAGUCUUUGGGUCUCCAAGAACGUAUUUCAUUAGUAGGAAUUCCACAGACAAAGAUGGAUUAUUUUAUAUUACAAACCUCUAUAUUUCGUUUAAGGAAUUAUAUAUACCGUUUAUCAUGAGUGUUUGCCAGGUUUUGUUCUGACCAAGAUAUAUCUAGGUUUUGAACUACUUUCCUAAGGUAUUUAGGAAAAUACGGUUGCCCUGGUGUCAGUCCCUGCUGAAGAAGAAAGUAGAUGGCCGUGUGUGGAGGGGGUUGAAUUUUCAUGAGAGAAACCUAUUUCUGGCAAGCUGUACAGUCUGUCGCCCAAUCAUGUUCGAGAACCACUGUACUUGCUUUUCGUGUAAAUUUGUUUAAAAAUUUUUUUUAACUUUAUUUUAAAAUCUGAUUAAUAGCCAGGCGCAGUGGCAGUCUAAUAGUGCAGACAAAAACAAGACAACAACAAAUGAUUAUGAUUCCUAGAAUAAGCAAAGCUUUUGCCACCAAGUCUUCAAGAUCAAAACUAGCUGCUUAGCCAGUUGUUUAAAGAUGUGUUGGAUCUGAAAGAUACAGGCCUGGUUUGGAGUCUUGGGUUUUAGCCACCUACAUCAG
rnacentral:lncRNA from 10 species